UACAUACUCCCUCCGUCCCAAAAUUCUUUUCUUAGAUUAGUCUACAUACGGAUGUAUAAAUACUUGAUACAUCCGUAUGUAGACUAAUCUAAGACAAGAAUUUUGGGACGGAGGGAGUAUUUG
rfam:Triticum aestivum genome assembly, contig: Triticum_aestivum_CS42_TGACv1_scaffold_288381_4AL